rnacentral:rRNA from 1 species
GGGUUGUGAGGUUAAGCGACUAAGCGUACACGGUGGAUGCCCUGGCAGUCAGAGGCGAUGAAGGGCGUGCUAAUCUGCGAUAAGCGCCGGUAAGGUGAUAUGAACCGUUAUAACCGGCGAUACCCGAAUGGGGAAACCCAGUGUGAUUCGUCACACUAUCAUUAACUGAAUCCAUAGGUUAAUGAGGCGAACCGGGGGAACUGAAACAUCUAAGUACCCCGAGGAAAAGAAAUCAACCGAGAUUCCCCCAGUAGCGGCGAGCGAACGGGGAGGAGCCCAGAGCCUGAAUCAGCAUGUGUGUUAGUGGAAGCGUCUGGAAAGGCGCGCGAUACAGGGUGACAGCCCCGUACACAAAAGCGCAUGUGCUGUGAGCUCGAUGAGUAGGGCGGGACACGUGGUAUCCUGUCUGAAUAUGGGGGGACCAUCCUCCAAGGCUAAAUACUCCUGACUGACCGAUAGUGAACCAGUACCGUGAGGGAAAGGCGAAAAGAACCCCGGCGAGGGGAGUGAAAAAGAACCUGAAACCGUGUACGUACAAGCAGUGGGAGCACCCUUUUGGGUGUGACUG